rnacentral:rRNA from 1 species
AGUGAACGCUGGCGGUAGGCCUAACACAUGCAAGUCGAACGGCAGCACAGUAAGAGCUUGCUCUUACGGGUGGCGAGUGGCGGACGGGUGAGGAAUAUAUCGGAAUCUACUUUUUCGUGGGGGUUAACGUAGGGAAACUUACGCUAAUACCGCAUACGACCUACGGGUGAAAGCAGGGGAUCUUCGGACCUUGCGCGAUUGAAUGAGCCGAUGUCGGAUUAGCUAGUUGGCGGGGUAAAGGCCCACCAAGGCGACGAUCCGUAGCUGGUCUGAGAGGAUGAUCAGCCACACUGGAACUGAGACACGGUCCAGACUCCUACGGGAGGCAGCAGUGGGGAAUAUUGGACAAUGGGCGCAAGCCUGAUCCAGCCAUACCGCGUGGGUGAAGAAGGCCUUCGGGUUGUAAAGCCCUUUUGUUGGGAAAGAAAAGCAGCAGGUUAAUACCCCGCUGUUCUGACGGUACCCAAAGAAUAAGCACCGGCUAACUUCGUG